GCAUAAUAGUAUAAACAAGUGAACACUUCGUUAAUCAUAUUGCACAUACUGUAUAUAUAUAUAUAUAUAUAUAUAUAGUCCUUACAAAAACGAUCAGAAGAAGCAUUAAUCUUCCUUCACCAAAAACCAAACAACCAAAACUCAAGAGAGUUACAAUAGCAUGAAGGUCAAGUCUUCACAUUUUUAGACCAAAAUCAAGUGCAAAUGGAAAUACACACACACACACAAACACAUAUAUAUAUAUAUAUAUGAGUGGAGAUAUUGAUCAUGGUGUUGUUGGUUUCUUGGGAGUAUUGCCAUUGUGGUGCAGUGGAUCUGGACCAGAGGGAACUGUUCUUAGCUCCCAAUCCCCCAUCCUCUCCCUGUUAUCAACUCCACCCAUUAAUCCCUUCCCUAGAUACAUGUUUGCUCCUUCUACCACCUGUAUACACACACACACACACACACACACACACACACACAUAUAUGUAAAUAUACUCGCACAUAUAUAAACAAUGCCAAAUGAAAUUCAUUACCUUUCGGUUAACAGCUGCAUUGACAUAAAAGCAGCCAUACCCAGAACUGCAGUCUGUCGCAAAUUAAUCAUAACAAGUUCAUUAACGUUUCACAGUCAACAUACGUAUACAUGUAUAUACAGUGUGUGUGAGUGAUUAUGUAGAGUUAGAAAGAGACCAUGAACAUGUUGCACGGUAACCAAGCAGACAACCAGCAGCAGAGUUACACUGGUAAUCUUUGACGUGAACUCCAUAUUAGCUAUAUAUAUAAGUAUGCUUCCAGGGAGCAAGAGUCAGAAGAGGAAGCCGAAGAAGAGAGAUAAAAAAA
rnacentral:lncRNA from 1 species